rnacentral:sRNA from 1 species
AUAUAAAGAUGAGAAA